GCCGGAAGGACAUUUCAUGAAUGAAGUUUGAAGCAGGGUUGUUGCUGGCCUCCGGGCAUGUGCACACUCUGUUCUACCCACCCUUCUACACCACUGUGCACUUCUCAUGGGUCGGUUCUGCGCCUUCGGGCUGCGAUCCUGCCUGUGUGCUCCAUACAUACACGUUUGUUAUAGAAUGUCUACUGUGCAUGAAUGCAUAUAAAUACAACUUUCAGCAACGGAUCUCUUGGCUCUCGCAUCGAUGAAGAACGCAGCGAAAUGCGAUAAGUAAUGUGAAUUGCAGAAUUCAGUGAAUCAUCGAAUCUUUGAACGCACCUUGCGCUCCUUGGUAUUCCGAGGAGCAUGCCUGUUUGAGUGUCAUGGUACUCUCAAUCUCUUUCACUUUUUUAGUGGUUUGAGAUUGGACUUGGAGGCUUGCAGGUGGACUUGUCUGUCUGCUCCUCUGAAAUGCAUUAGUUUGGACUGUCUCCGAGCAUGCUUCAGCGUGAUAAUUGUCUGCGCUGCUGCUCUCGGUACAAAAAUGUCCCUGCUUCUAACCGUCUGUUUGUAGACAACCUUUACACUUCUGACCUCAAAUCAGGUAGGACUACCCGCUGAACUUAAGCAUAUCAAUAAGCGGAGGAAAGAAACUAACAAGGAUUCCCCUAGUAACUGCGAGUGAAGCGGGAAAAGCUCAAAUUUAAAAUCUGUCAGCUUUGGCUGUCCGAGUUGUAGUCUGGAGAAGCGUUUUCUGUGCUGGACCGUGUACAAGUCUCUUGGAACAGAGCGUCGUAGAGGGUGAGAAUCCCGUCUUUGACACGGACUGCCAGUACUUUGUGAUGCGCUCUCAAAGAGUCGAGUUGUUUGGGAAUGCAGCUCAAAAUGGGUGGUAAAUUCCAUCUAAAGCUAAAUAUUGGCGAGAGACCGAUAGCGACAGUAC
rnacentral:rRNA from 1 species